UUUUCCGAUACAGACGCACAACGUGCAAUGCCCACCCUGUUCGAUCUGGAUCUCAGCAGCGAUGGCGGCGUCUCCUCCCUCUAACCGCGGGUCAGGUCCCUCAACAUCGCGGCAUCGGAGGCGGACGCAAGGCCGGUGCUGGUGCCGGGGGGCAACAAGGCCCCGGCGGCUGCGCGGAAACCUUCUCCCAAGCCACUGCGGAAGGCGCCAGAGAAGCCUCCGGCCGCUGACCCGGCCAAAGAGGAUGAGUUGCAGGGCGUGAAGAAGGACGCGGGGGCCGCCACUGCUGUUGGCGACGACGGCGCUAGGAAGGGGAACUCAUCCCCAUUGCCGCCGCCGAGGAAGCUGCAAGAUGCGCCGGCGGUGAACCUCAACGCGUCCUGCUCCUCGGAGGCCUCCGUGGAGUCGCUCCGCGGCCGGGCCCCAGGCGGAAGGACGGAGAGGGGCUGGUCCCGGCCGACCGCGCCCAAGCGUGGGAAGGCUGCGUCUAAGGUGGUGGAGAAGCACGCCGAUGUCACGGAGGUUGCCGCUCCGGUGACGCCGGAGGCCGUCCGAGGGAGGAGCCUGUGCGCCUGGGUGACUCCGACCACCGUUGGAGAUGCUGCUGCUAUUUGUUCAGAUUGGGGGAGGCUAGAGAGGCUUGCUUGAUGUUGUGUUUGCUACGUCAGAGAGCAGUGAGAACUGAGAUUUGGGUGGGGUGGGGGUGGAGGUAGCAGGGAGAGGAUGUUUACUCGAUGGAAGAUGACAGGGGCACGCCUCCGAGCUAGCCGAUGCCUACUGUAUCCAGUGUUCUGCUGCAUCCGGUGCCACCUCAAAGAACACCUUCUAGCUGGGCAUUGAACGCCUCAGGGACGACGAGGUGCAGCAACUGGGGUGGAAGAAGUUAAACUACAUGAUGAAGAAUUGAGUGAAGGGGUUAAGACGGUUGCGUUGUGCAUGCGCUGCUUGCUUGCCGCAGCCGUAUGCGCACUGCUUGUGCUGGGCGCCGAUCUGGAGGCCCCUGAUCGGAAGGGAUGCCACUGGAGUUGCUGCCGGAGAUGGUAGCGGUACACCCAGUGGCAAGGCACCAUAUGACAGACAAUUGUGGUCUGCAUUUUUUUAACCAAAAUACUGAACAUUCAAGCUGCAAUAGUGGAGCUGCAUGUGCUGCUAUAGAUUGGUCCUUGCAGCUUAUGAAGGCAUCAACUAUUGGCGGCACAAAAUUGUGGAGCUUAAGAUUCCCCACCCUUAUUUCUGAAGGAAAGCUAAAGUUCGGGGUGCUAAUCUCCGAGGAUUUUCUCAACGGAGGGUUUAUUUAACACUAACAAGCCUUUCAAGUUUUUAUAUGGUAAUAUGGUGAUAGGUUGGAAUGUUUCAUCACCCAGGAAUGUGGAUUACUAUCGCAGGAUAUUUUUCCUCUUGAUGGUGCUUCCACUGAAUGUUAUGCACCCUUGUACGACCAUAUAUCUAAGUUUGCAUGUUCAUUCAGAAGAUUAUAUUGACUAUUCAAUUCAGGGUUCAACCUUUGAAUAACACAGUUCUGGCUCAGUAGUUUGAGAUUCUAUUG